rnacentral:misc_RNA from 1 species
AGAAAUCUGGUUUCCUUGUUCAAGUAUAGAGAAUAUUAUCAUAAUGGAAGAUCAAACAUGCAAAAACUAUCAUCAAUUUGUCAAUGAUAUGUCUAGUCUUUGAAAUGGCACUCUAUUUAAGCAACCUCUAAUGCCAAAUUAUCAACUCUUUUAUUUAUUUAAAAAAACAAAACAAAGGAGAGGAUGAGAGAGAGAGAGAGGGAGAAGGAAGGGAA